rnacentral:lncRNA from 1 species
CCCUAACCUUGACCCUAAAUUCGAUGCACACAGAGCACAGAGGCGAUUUCUCUGGCGACGACCACCAGCACCACCGUCAGCACCACUACCAACACUCCCAUCAUCGACACCACCACCAAAAUUUCAACUCCGAGCAGAAUGAGUCACUCACUAAUUCCGAUCUUCUUGCGGUCGGAAGCCUCAGAUCUCUCUCUCUCUGGUCCUGCUUUCCUCUCUCUCUCUCAGGGUUAGGUUUAGCAGUUUGUUUUUGUUGGCGGAUGGUAGAGAUAGAGGCGGAGAGGUACAGAGAUUACUCCGGCUCUCGCCCGAAUAACAUUCGACAAGUCUCUUGCCGUCCUCCGAGGAUCAUCACUCGCCUUGACCAAAUUCGACGCACACAGAGGCGAUUCUCCGGCGACGCCACAGCCACCCACGUCAGACCACCACUACCAACACUCCCAUCAUCGAAACCACCACCAAAAUGUCAACUCCGAACAUAAUGAAUGAGUCACUCACAAUUACGAUCUUCUUGCGUCCGAAGCUCUCAGAUCUCUCUCUCUGGUCAUGCUUUCCCUAUCUAUCUCAGGUUAGGUUUAGCGUUUUGUUGUUGUUGGCGGAUGGUAGAGAUAGAGGCGGAGAGGGACGGGAUUACUCCGACUCUCGCCGAAUUCAAUUCUACCACGUCUUCUUGGUCCUCAAGAUCAUCCCCUCGAAUUGACCCUAAAUUCGACGCACACAGAGCGAUUUCUCCGGCGACGGCCACCAGCACCACCGGUCAGCCACCACUACCAACACUCCCAUAAUCGACAAAAAACCCACCACCACCAAAAUUCAACUCCGAGCAGAAUGAGUCACUCACUAAUUCCGACCAAUGGUUCGCUCACUCUGGUUUUACUUCACCAAUUCUUGCACUCGGAAGCCCCACAUCCCCUAGUUUCUUUUAUUCUUUUCUUUCUUGCUUCUUAUGUCUUGGUUAUAUGUCUGUUCCAUGAUGUUGUAUUUUGUUGUUUUUUCAAUAAAGUUUAUUGAAAUUAUAGUUUUCUUAGAUUAGGUUGUAGGUGUACUAAGAACAGUGCCUGAACCUGAACAAGAAGGCAGCUGUGGUAUAUAUGAUUCAUAUUCUUGCUUUGUUUGGUUAUAUGAUGACUCAUGAAUAAACUAAGCCACUUAUUUUAUUUUUUUGUUGCCAUGUUUUAUUUUUUGUUUUUUAUGUUAUUAAAAAAACUCCCCCAACCCAAAGGUUCUAAUUACUUCUUUCAUGUCAGAUUUGCUCCUUGUUAAACAAGGAGAGCGCUGCUUUUCCCCCUCACACACACAACCGGCCCCACCCCAAAACCCUCCUCAACAAUUACCAUUAUGCCCCUCCCCCUUCUUACCCCUCUAGUCUCAGUUUUUUUUUUUUUUUUUCCAGUUUUUUUUGGUUUAGUUUUGUGAUUUUUCUUCUUCAGUUUUGUAGGUAUACCACAGUGACUAAAGAAGAUGUUAGUAGUGUUAAGUGUUAUCUAUGAUUCAUAUUCCUGCUUUGUUUGGUUUUCUCCAUGACCCAUGAAUAAACUUGGCACUUUUUUAUUUUUUGUUUCUAUGGAUUUUUUUGUGUGUGUGUGUGUCAAAUUUAUGUUUGGUAAAAAAACUCCCCCUAGCCGAAAGGGUUCUAAUUGUUU